rnacentral:rRNA from 1 species
CCUACGGGUGGCAGCAGUGAGGAAUAUUGGUCAAUGGACGAGAGUCUGAACCAGCCAAGUAGCGUGAAGGAUGACUGCCCUAUGAGUUGUAAACUUCUUUUAUAUGGGAAUAAAAUUUUCCACGUGUGGUAUUUUGUAUGUACCAUAUGAAUAAGGAUCGGCUAACUCCGUGCCAGCAGCCGCGGUAAUACGGAGGAUCCGAGCGUUAUCCGGAUUUAUUGGGUUUAAAGGGAGCGUAGGUGGAUUGUUAAGUCAGUUGUGAAAUUUUGCGGCUCAACCGUGAAAUUGCAGCUGAUACUGGCAGUCUAGAGUACAGUAGCGGUGGGCGGAAUGCGUGGUGUAGCGGUGAAAUGCUUAGAUAUCACGAAGAACACCGAUUGCGAAGGCAGUUCACUGGACUGCAACUGACACUGAGGCUCGAAAGUGUGGGUAUCAAACAGGAUUAGAUACCCGUGUAGUC